rnacentral:rRNA from 1 species
CGGUACUCAGUCCGGAUUGAAGGCUGAAAUUCACCUUCAUGAAGCUGGAAUUGCUAGUAAUGGCAGGUCAGCAUACUGCCGUGAAUACGUUCCCGGGCCUUGUACACACCGCCCGUCACACCAUGAGAGUUGGGAAUACCCGAAGCCUGUGAGCUAACGUUAAGAGGCAGCAGUCGAAGGUAGAAUCAAUGAUUGGGGUGAAGUCGUAACAAGGUACC